UACGAAGGGGGCUAGCGUUGUUCGGAUUUACUGGGCCGUAAAGCGCACGUAGGCGGAUCUUUAAGUCAGAGGUGAAAUCCCAAGGCUCAACCUUGGAACUGCCUUUGAUACUGGGGAUCUUGAGUCCGGGAGAGGUGAGUGGAACUGCGAGUGUAAGAGGUGAAAUUCGUAGAUUAUUCGCAAGAACACCAGUGGCGAAGGCGGCUCACUGGCCCGGUACUGACGCUGAGGUGCGAAAGCGUGGGGAGCAAACAGG
rnacentral:rRNA from 1 species